CCCAGUGCCCUUGACUGACCUCGGCUUGACCUCUCUUUGGCCGCUGCUGCUGCUGAGUGCGACGGGCACCCUCGAGAAGCUGGGAGCGAAGGGACCGAGCGCCCCAUGGGGAAGCCUGCAGGUCCGGGCCCAGCAGAGCAUGCCGGCCGCUUCCCGGUGCGCACCUCGCGGAGGACGGUCCGCCCACGCUCCGCCUCCGGCCUCCGCUCGGAGCCCGGCCCAUUUCUGUUUAGAGCUCCGCCCCUCUCCCCGCCCUCAAGUCCCCGCCCCCGACGUGUCCCCUACGUAAUCCCAGAGACCCGUCCUUCCCUGGCCCCGCCCCCUGCGCCUUUACGUCAUCUCCGCAGGCUCGACUCGGCUGUGCUGGUCACGCCCUGGGCGGAGUCACUCACGGCUCUGGCCCCGCCCCGCCCCGCCCCGCCCCGCCCCGCCGUGCUCUCUUUGCUGGUGGCACAAGGAUGUGGGAGUCUGGUCCACGCCGCUGCAGACGCCCCCACUUCAGAGCGCGAGCUUACGCGGCUUCGGGGCGGGUCCUUGGCAAGCCAAGGAGGCUCUGCCUUAGCCGGCGCCCAGUCCCCCACCUGGCCUGUUCAUCCGUCCUCACGCACAGCCCUGGGUGGUUGCCAUUCUUUCUGUGCCGCCGGCGCGGGCGAGAGGCGCCAGGAGUGGCUCCUGUCGUCCGGGCGCCAGCUUGGUGGCGCCAUGCUCCACAGCUGGGGCUCGACGAAGAGGAAACUGAAGCGCAGAGAGGAUAAAUGAUUUGUGCAAAAGGCAGAACCAGAAUUUCGGUCUGGUCUCCUUCCUGAUGGAACUUAGCCCAUCUUGCAUGGAAACCAUUUCCUUUGGGAAUCCCGGCCAGCUGCCAUGGUCUCUCCUAGUCUGGGGUAAGUUGUUUCAGGUCUCAGCUGGCUUCCUCUGCAGUCCAUCCUUCAGCAGUUUCAAGAGUAGCUGCUCUUUUUUUUUCUUCUUCUUUCCCAGCUGGCGUAAUUAAGGGGUUCUGCUCAAAAGCCUUCAGGGACUCCCUGUCCUUAAAGUUAGGAGUUGAAACGUCAUCAAAGCACUCUCACGCUCCCCCAGUGGGAUCCUUCUGUACUCCCUCACCAGGCCCUUUCUGGGGCUGUGUUGGCCUUCCAGAGUCUUUCUCAUCUUUCAGGGCACAGGAUAACUGCCACCUCCUCCUCAAUUCUUCCCAGAUUUCCUGAGUUGAAAUGAAUCUUUUCUAUGCCAUGUUCUCAAAGAGUUAGCAAGCUCCUGAACAGUACUCUAGAACUGGCCUUCCCUGUGUCUGCCCUAGGCCAGGUGCAAGGUGCAAUAGUAAUUUUACUGAAUGAUCAUCAAGGGGUUCAAGAGCACCUGCAAGUGCUUACACAAAGCUUCAGUAGGUAGCCAGGCCAGUGCUUCCUCCAGAUGAUGACACCUGAGCCCCCAGGGGCACCCCAGCCCCUCUGCUACCUCCUUCAGGCUAAGCUAUGUUCUCCAAGGCUCCCUCUCCUUGCCUUGGGGCUCUCAGCAGGUGUUUUGUUCUAAUCUGAGGAGGGCCCUGGGGCCAUGGGGUCUCUAAAACACCAGGUGGUGUGCUCAUUUGCUGCCAGCAUAAUUAUUAGGGGAGCGAUGGGGACACCUGAGCCCUGGAUGGGGCUGGUCCGAGACCUGGGAGGAUUCAUUGGAGGGCACUUUUCUAGAGCUGGGGAAGGAGGAAAGGAGGAUCCUGGUUCAGAAGGGGGUAUUUCAAAGGUGUUCUCAAAGGUGUUCCCCCACCCUACCGUCUAAACUGAGUCUGGCCUGACCUCUACACCCUGGAGCCAAAGAGCUGGGAGUUAGGGGCCACAGCAGCCUUGAGACAAAUACUGAGUCCUGAGUCCGGAUCCCCAGCCCUGUCACCUGGCUGGUCAGGGUUGGACCUGGCAAGCAGAAAAACCUGUUGGUCUGAGGUUUCCGUGUGAACAUUCCAGAGAAUGUGGUGGGCGGGACGCAGGUGCUUGGGAAGAUCACGGAUGGUGUCGAGGAAGAGUCCUCCAGAGCUGCCCACCCCUCCCCAUUAUUGCAAGUCUGCUGUUGGUUGGUGAGGGUCUCCCUCUCUGUGGGAAUAUCAAGCUAGCGAGGUGAAGCGUGCAUUUCCACAUCUUGUUCCCACUGAUCCCAACCUUCUUAAUUUAUCCACAAAGAAAGCUGGUGUGGGGGGGCAAACUGACCCAGCCCCACGUCACUCAGCCGGUGGAUGGCCCAGUCCGAUUCCUUCCUGGAAUCCGCCCUCCACGGACCCUAGAGCAAUGCUGUUGGAUUUCAUCACUGCUAUUGUGGAUGGGGACCAAGGGCCAAAGGGGUGUGACCGACAGCAGCAGGGACACUGCACCCUGGUGGUGGCGGUGUUGAAUGGGUUAAGGUGGGAGGUGGCCAGUGUCCCACAACCGCACCUGGCCCAGUAUCGGUCACGUGGCCGGGGUUUCACCUGCCCCGCUGAGCAGGGACAAUCAAACCGCUUGUUCCGCAGCCUGUCUCCAUAGCGACAGGAGUGUGCCUGGGGGAGGUCACCAGGGCAAAUUCCUGCCAGCUGGCUGGGUGGGGCAGGGGUGUCCACGGUGCUGAGGGCCUUCGGGGGUUCCCCCAGGUCCCUUGAGUUUUCCCGGUGGGGCUGCCUUUCCAGGGCCCCUUCUGUCUCUGCACCCGGCACCGCCUCCUGUCCUGGUCCCCGUCAGCCAGAAUUCUCUCUUCCCAGAUUCUGAACCCGGGUUUAUUAAGCUGCCUGGACUUUCACAUACCGUAUCUGGUUUAAUCCGCACGGCAGCUUUUCCCAGCGGGAAAUGGUAAUCCCCGAGGGUUGGUUACCUGGUUUGCCUCCCCACAACUCACUGAGCUCUGGAGAAUGUUCUCUUCCUCCUGCAACAAUUGGCAGAGAAUGGAAGCCUCCUCAACUGGCCAGGCACCUCCCCAGACACCCAAGAACAAACAGCAAAUUAAUGAACAAUGGAUUGUGGGAGCAUUUGCUUUCCUCAGAGCAGGGUAGGUGGGUGGGGUGUAGCUCAGCGGCAGAGCAUGUACUUAGCACGCGCGCCCUGGGUUCAAUGCCCAGUACCAAAAAAAAAAAAAAAAGCAGGGAGGCCCACAGAGGUGGGGACUGCCCAGCACCCUCUGCUGCUCUGGCGUCAAGGACAUCUCUGGGCCCCACCCUGCACCUUCUGCCCUGCCUCCGUAUUCAUCGCUUGCUUUCAUCCACUGGCACCGAAUGGGCCCCUGCUAACAGCAGUGGGUGACACUUUGUCUUCUGCCUCUGGACUCAUGUGCAAAUCCCUGUGUCCCUCAGGGACACUGGUCACACACGCAGAUUCUUAUACAAUCAGGGCGAGUGAACUUGAGGGGGAUGUGGAGGGAGUCUGGGUCUUUGGAAACCGGGAACCACACUCCCCUGGAGAAAGGCCAGCCUCCAGGAUAUAGUCCCAUCUCUUCUGCCUGCGUUUUGGAGCCUUUGUUGAGCACCUACCAAGUGCUGGGCAGUAGGGAUGCAAGAGUGAGCCCAGAUCAACUCAGACCCAACAGACUCUGGAGGACGUACCGUGGCACACUGAGGCUCCCCAGGGGGCCAGGCCUGGCCCUAGGGCAGGCAGGGCAGCUCUGCACAGAGAUGCUUGAAAGAGUGAAGGUCUGAAGGCUCAGUAGGAGUUGGCCAGGCAGAAAGGUUACAGAGAAAGAGAGUGUUCCAGAAGCUAGAGCACCGAGUGCAGUGGGGCAGCCACCCUACCUCCUCAGGAAGACGUCCCUCCUUACCUCUCCUUCCCCAGCCCAGUCCCUACCUAGCUCUCCUUCUGGUGGCUCUGAUUUCCCUCCCUGUACUGCUGCCUCUUUGCUGGACUCGUCCAUCUUGGCCUCUCCAGUGACCUCCCCACUAGGCAAUCAGCAGGAUCUACUCAGAACACACAGUGUUUCUUUUUUUAAUUUCAUGGUACUGGGGAUUGAAUGCAGGGGCGCUUUAUCACGGAGCCACGGCCCAGCCCUUUUUUAUUUUUGAGACAGGUUCUCACUAACUUCUAGUCCUCCUACCUCAGCCUCCUGAGCUGCUGGGAUGUUCUGGUCUGUCUUGUUCUUUCCUACCUUUUCCUGUUUUUCUGUGCUUUGGGUUCUGUGCUUAUUGCCCCAGGGGAUGCAUGUGGCAGCCCUGAGAGUAGAAAAGCUGGUUUAUGUGUUUCCAAAGCUGCAGACCUUCGGGGAAUGGAAUGCCUCAGUAGAGACAUCGCCAAGGGCCAAGGAUGGGAGGGGAGCUGCCCCUGUGUCUUGGCUAGGUCCCCAGAGAGGAUAUGCAUAUCAGGGAUUGAACCUAGAGUACUUAACCACUGCCACAUUCCCAACCCUUUUUUACGUUUUACUUAGAGACAGGGUCUCACUGAGUUGCUUAGAAACUCACUAAAUUGC